rnacentral:rRNA from 1 species
GCUUCCCGUCCGCUCAGCCGUACUCAAGCCACACGCCGGGAGGUUAGUAGUUGGGUGGGUGACCACCAGCGAAUCCCUUCUGUUGUAUGUA